AAUAAGUUGACUGAUAAAGGUGAUAAAUUGUAAAUUUAUUUAUGGAUAAUUUCCACUUAUUA
rnacentral:tRNA from 1 species